AAGGUGUUUGAGAGUGUGAGCUGCGUGCAGGGGCUCUAUGUGUUUGAGGGUGUGAGUUGGAAGCAGACGUUACAACCAAAGCAAGGUUUCUCAAACAACUGUGUGUUUGUUGUGAUGUAUGCUCUGUACAUUGCAAUGGAGCACAGUGCGAUUUCACUGAGCAAAUUAGGCGAUGGUGGUGCCUAGUUCUCCUGCAGAACUUUCCCAUGCCGUCUGAAGAAGAGCGGUUGAAAGAACGAAAACAAAACACUACAGGAUGAUGUAGAAGAUGUCCCCCCCCAAGAAGUCACAGCAUGUCACAUUAGCAUCCAGCUCUGCAGGAUCAGAUGAUAUUGAAAGCAAAAUGCACGGAGAACUGGGAGCUGUGAACUGGGAAGCAGAUGUUCUUCUAAGGGACACCCUAGAGGCAGCAAAGUGGUGCGAACUCCAAACACUUAAAGGCACUGUUUCUCUCCCUAGUAUAAUUGGGAUGGAUGGGGAAGACCGCAUUACAACCCUUAAAGAACUACGGUUGUAUGAUGGCCUGGAUGAAGAAGAAAAUAUUAUCCCCAAGGAACCCUUCAUGUUACAGAGAGAUUAUGAGAUGUUCUAUGUGGAGGCAGUUGACAACAAGAACAUUACUGUCUUUGCCUCUUGAGGAACAGGGUCGAAGCCAUUUUUGAGGAGUGGUCAAACCUUGUUUUUGUCUGCUGUGUUAAUUGUGUUAUGUUGUUUAGUAAAGAGGAUGUAGAGUCUCUGAUCUCUUUACUGGAGGUGGUCUAACUUAAUGUACAAAGCACAUUCAGCUUGUCAGUAUGUCCAAAUGGUAUAGUCUGUCUCCAUUCUCAUGAGGAAAGUAAAUGGCAUUAUAAAUGAGGAUAGGUAGCAAGUGUAUGUGUAUAUAUACUCAAUGAAAUAAUAUAAUCACAAAGUUAUAACAUUUACCAACACAAUUUUAACAGUACAUGACAUACAUAACAAGUCUGUUGUUCACUGCAACAAUAUCAGUAGCUUGUCUCAAAUAUAGCAUGGAGCAAAAAGUGUUACAACACAUCUGCUGGUACCACUC